AGAGUUUGAUCAUGGCUCAGGACGAACGCUGGCGGCGUGCUUAACACAUGCAAGUCGAACGGAAAGGCCCUUCGGGGUACUCGAGUGGCGAACGGGUGAGUAACACGUGGGUGAUCUGCCCUGCACUUUGGGAUAAGCCUGGGAAACUGGGUCUAAUACCGAAUAGGACCACGCGCUUCAUGGUGUGUGGUGGAAAGCUUUUGCGGUGUGGGAUGGGCCCGCGGCCUAUCAGCUUGUUGGUGGGGUAAUGGCCUACCAAGGCGACGACGGGUAGCCGGCCUGAGAGGGUGACCGGCCACACUGGGACUGAGAUACGGCCCAGACUCCUACGGGAGGCAGCAGUGGGGAAUAUUGCACAAUGGGCGCAAGCCUGAUGCAGCGACGCCGCGUGAGGGAUGACGGCCUUCGGGUUGUAAACCUCUUUCAAUAGGGACGAAGCGCAAGUGACGGUACCUAUAGAAGAAGCACCGGCCAACUACGUGCCAGCAGCCGCGGUAAUACGUAGGGUGCGAGCGUUGUCCAGAAUUACUGGGCGUAAAGAGCUCGUAGGUGGUUUGUCGCGUUGUUCGUGAAAACUCACAGCUUAACUGUGGGCGUGCGGGCGAUACGGGCAGACUAGAGUACUGCAGGGGAGACUGGAAUUCCUGGUGUAGCGGUGGAAUGCGCAGAUAUCAGGAGGAACACCGGUGGCGAAGGCGGGUCUCUGGGCAGUAACUGACGCUGAGGAGCGAAAGCGUGGGGAGCGAACAGGAUUAGAUACCCUGGUAGUCCAA
rnacentral:rRNA from 1 species